rnacentral:tRNA from 1 species
GGGGCGCUAGCUCAAUUGGAAGAGCACCGCCUUUGCAAGGCGGGGGUUACCGGUUCGACCCCGGUGCGCUCCA